GGGGACAAUGACAUAUAAGAGUCGUUGUGUAGGCCUUGAAAGUUCAGAAGGAAUGAGACUUUCGACUUAGGGUUUAAGGAAAAAUGAUUCUGGAAUUCGAAUGGGAUCAUCAAGUAAGAAACUAUAUAAAAUACUAGAACAAGAGAUGUCAAAGAAACCAGUGAACAACCAUCCUCCAAUGGGUCCUUUUUGGCUUGACUAGUAUUUGAUCCAUGCUGGUCUCUGGUCAAAGGUGAUAUCAGGAAAUGACUUUAUAAACUAAUGGGUUAAGAAUAUAUCUAGAGCUGACUUAUUCAAUUAAUGGGUUGAGCUGGGUUGCCAUGUUAGAUCGAGUAUGAUUUCAUAAGAGGAAUUUUAGGCUAACCUUUAUUAGUUGUAAUGAGAAAAGAUCCAAUUAGGCGAGAUCUAUAUGUGAUUUAAUUGGACUUUUGGUCUUAGUUCGGUACCAACACUGAGCAAUGAGUCCCGAUCUGGUUGUGGAUAUAAACCUAUUCAGUUUAGCUCCAAGAUAUAACUCCAGCUUGGUGCCUAUUUUCUUGACUGGGGGGCCGGGAUAUAUUUCUCUACAAAUAUUUUUCUUCUCAAUCAAAUCAUAUUUGUACCCUUUUGUUUCAUUGUAGCAACAAUUAUUCUCUUGCCAACAAAUCUUAAUAUGAUGAUUCUAGCCCUUAGAUGAGUAGACUCCUGAUGGAUGCUCCACU
rnacentral:lncRNA from 1 species